GAUGGACCGCAUCGGAUUACUGGGCGUAAGCGCACGCAGGCGGUCUGUCAAGUCGGAUGUGAAAUCCCCGGGCUCAACCUGGGAACUGCAUUCGAAACUGGCAGGCUAGAGUCUUGUAGAGGGGGGUAGAAUUCCAGGUGUAGCGGUGAAAUGCGUAGAGAUCUGGAGGAAUACCGGUGGCAAACGCGGCCCCCUGGACAAAUACUGACG
rnacentral:rRNA from 1 species